CCAAGGAGUCUAACAUGUGCGCGAGUCACUCGGUCUUGAAUAGGCCAGAGAGGCACAAUGAAAGUAAAGUUGAUUGAGUUACGAUCCUCAUGUCGGUUACUCCUUCAGUGGGGUAACGGUGAGGCGCAGUAACAGCCCGCCAAUUUCGCUUAUUGACGAUCUGGCGGAGUUGUAGCGUACACGUUGGUACCCGAAAGAUGGUGAACUAUGCCUGGGCAAGACGAAGUCAGAGGAAACUCUGGUGGAGGUCUGUAGCAAUUCUGACGUGCAAAUCGAUUGUCAGACCUGGGUAUAGGGGCGAAAGACUAAUCGAACCAUC
rnacentral:rRNA from 1 species